CGCCCUUACGGGAGGCAGCAGCAAGGAAUUUUCGGCAAUGGGCGCAAGCUGACCGAGCAACGCCGCGUGCGGGAUGACGGCCUUCGGGUUGUAAACCGCUUUUCGGGGGGACGACCCUGACGGUACCCCCGGAAUCAGCCCCGGCUAACUCUGUGCCAGCAGCCGCGGUAAGACAGAGGGGGCGAGCGUUGUCCGGAGUCACUGGGCGUAAAGCGCGCGCAGGCGGCAACCUAAGUGUCGUGUGAAAGCCCCCGGCUCAACCGGGGGAGGCCAUGGCAAACUGGGUCGCUCGAGCUGCGGAGAGGCCCCUCGAUUGCGGUGUAGCGGUGAAAUGCGUAGAGAUCGGCAGGAAGACCAAGGGGGAAGCCAGGGGGCUGGCCGCUGGCUCACGCUGAGGCGCGACAGGUGGGGGAGCGAACCGGCUUAGAUACCCGGGUAGUCCACGGCGUAAACAAUGACCACUUGGCGUGCGGCGGCUAUUUACGUCGGGGUGCGG
rnacentral:rRNA from 1 species